ACAGCCGUUGCACACGAGUCAGUCGAUCCUAAGCCCUAGGCGAAAGCCGAUGUCGAUACCGUGUAGUCUAUGAACGUACGUAAUUUAGUAGUCUAACACACGCACACGGAACGGGCGAAAGGGAAUCCGGUU
rnacentral:rRNA from 1 species